rnacentral:rRNA from 1 species
UACGAAGGGUGCAAACGUUGCUCGGAAUUAUUGGGCGUAAAGCGCACGUAGGCGGCUUAGCAAGUCGGAAGUGAAAUCCCUCGGCUCAACUGAGGAAGUGCAUCCGAAACUGGCAAGCUUGAGUACGAAAGAGGGUCGCGGAAUUCCCGGUGUAGAGGUGAAAUUCGUAGAUAUCGGGAGGAACACCGGUGGCGAAGGCGGCGACCUGGGUCGAUACUGACGCUGAGGUGCGAAAGCGUGGGGAGCAAACAGG